CGUUUUAAAUAUGGGCCUCGUGUCAUCCUGGCAACAGGAACGACCAAAGAAGCCGUCGAGAGAUAUCGGAAGAGUUUCUUUUCUGUUUUAUAGCCGUACUACCAUGGAAGUCUUUCGCAGAGAGAUAUGGUAGAUGGGCUAGAAGAGCAUGAACAUUAUACUGUUGUGUCGAUAUUUUCUCCUCGACCUUGAAAAUUUAUGGUGGGACACGCAAACUUCUCAACAGGCCGUACCAAUAUCCGCAGCUGGUCUCCAAGGUGAAGAGUCUCUAGUCGAUAGAAUAAUGUAGGUAAGGGAAGUCGGCAAAUUAGAUCCGUAACUUCGGGAUAAGGAUUGGCUCUGAAGAUUGAGAUAGUCGGGGCUUGAUUGGGAAACAAUAACAUGGUUUAUGUGCUCGUUCUGGGUAAAUAGAGUUUCUAGCAUUUAUGUUAGUUACUUGUUCCCGGAUAGUUUAGUUACGUAGCCAAUUGUGGAACUUUCUUGCUAAAAUUUUUAAGAAUACUAUUUGGGUUAAACCAAUUAGUUCUUAUUAAUUAUAACGAUUAUCAAUUAACAAUCAAUUCAGAAACUGGCACGGACUUGGGGAAUCCGACUGUCUAAUUAAAACAAAGCAUUGUGAUGGCCCUAGCGGUGUUGACACAAUGUGAUUUCUGCCCAGUGCUCUGAAUGUCAAAGUGAAGAAAUUCAAGUAAGCGCGGGUCAACGGCGGGAGUAACUAUGACUCUCUUAAGGUAGCCAAAUGCCUCGUCAUCUAAUUAGUGACGCGCAUGAAUGGAUUAACGAGAUUCCUACUGUCCCUAUCUACUAUCUAGCGAAACCACAGCCAGGGAAGGGAACGGGCUUGGAAUAAUUAGCGGGGAAAGAAGACCCUUUUGAGCUUGACUCUAAUCUGGCAGUGUAAGGAGACAUAAGAGGUGUAGAAUAAGUGGGAGAUAUUAGACCUCGGUUUGGUAUCGUCAAUGAAAUACCACUACUCUUAUUGUUUCCUUACUUACUUGAUUAAAUGGAACGUGUAUCAUUUCCUAGCCAUUAUACGGAUAUUUAUUAUAUCUUAUGGUAUUGGGUUUUGAUGCAAGCUUCUUGAUCAAAGUAUCACGAGUUUGUUAUAAAUCGCAAACAAAUUCUUUAAUAAAACGAUGCAUUUAUGAUGAUUGAAAAUUUGGUAUAACUCCAAUUACUCAGGUAUGAUCCAAUUCAAGGACAUUGCCAGGUAGGGAGUUGACUGGGGGGGUACAUCUCUCAAAUAAUAACGGAGGUGUCCCAAGGCCAGCUCAGUGCGGACAAAACCACACAUAGAGCAAAAGGGCAAAUGCUGACUUGAUCUCGGUGUUCAGUACACACAGGGACAGCAAAAGCUCGGCCUAUCGAUCCUUUUGGUUUAAAGAGUUUUUAACAAGAGGUGUCAGAAAAGUUACCAUAGGAUAACUGGCUUGUGGCGGCCAAGCGUUCAUAGCGACGUCGCUUUUGAUCCUUCGAUGUCGGCUCUUCCUAUCAUUGUGAAGCAAAAUUCACCAAGCGUUGGAUUGUUCACCCAUGCAAGGGAACGUGAGGCUGGGUUUAGGACCGUCGUGAGACAGGUUAGUUUUACCCUACUAAUGACAAAACGUUGUUGCGACAGCAUUCCUGCGUAGUACGAGAGGAACCGCAGGUACGGACCAAUGGCACAAUACUUGUUCGAGCGAACAGUGGUAUGACGCUACGUCCGUUGGAUUAUGCCUGAACGCCUCUAAGGUCGUAUCCGUGCUGGACUGCAAUGAUAAAUAAGGGCAAUUGCAUUGU
rnacentral:rRNA from 1 species